CCUACGGGAGGCAGCAGUGAGGAAUAUUGGUCAAUGGGCUUACGCCUGAACCAGCCAAGUCGCGUGAGGGAAGACUGCCCUAUGGGUUGUAAACCUCUUUUGUCAGGGAGCAACGCCGGCUACGUGUAGCCGGACUGAGAGUACCUGAAGAAAAAGCAUCGGCUAACUCCGUGCCAGCAGCCGCGGUAAUACGGAGGAUGCGAGCGUUAUCCGGAUUUAUUGGGUUUAAAGGGUGUGUAGGCGGAAUGCCAAGUCAGCGGUAAAAUCGCGGGGCUCAACCUCGCUCCGCCGUUGAAACUGGCGGUCUUGAGUGGGCGAGAAGUAUGCGGAAUGCGUGGUGUAGCGGUGAAAUGCAUAGAUAUCACGCAGAACUCCGAUUGCGAAGGCAGCAUACCGGCGCCCAACUGACGCUGAAGCACGAAAGCGUGGGUAUCGAACAGGAUUAGAUACCCCUGUAGUC
rnacentral:rRNA from 1 species